CAAUGUUCUAUGCCCAGAUGACUCUUUGAAACUCAACGCCACCCUCUUUUCCCAGCCUGCUUCCCUGACUUUUGGGUGAAGGGAGAUGAUAGCUAUAAAGAACUCUUAAAAUGGCAAAAUGCUUUCUUUAAAUCUGACGAGGGAAAGCCUAAUUUAUGAGACCAGCAGAGUCGGGAGUUUGUCAAAGCUCAUAGCCAAGAAAGCUUCUAGGGAGAGAAAGUCUUUCAUGAAUGCUGAUGAUGAUUCUGAGCAGAAGACCACGAGGAAAUGGUGCACACUCCACUUCAGGCUUGGAGCAAGGGAUGAUCUUUGGGACCAAUAGGAGGAAGUUCUCCAUGACUAGGAAAAAGUGCCAGCCUCUGUCACAAGGCUCUUGGGCUUUGGCCUUUUCCUCCACUCUCCUGCUUUGGAAGGAAUCCUGUCUUCUUCUACACUCAUCUUCAUUCAGCACAUAUGGACAGAUGGUUCAAGAGAAAAACUGUAUUAUCUCGUCAGGAGAAGAAUUGGCCCAGGUUAUAUGUCAUGCAAUCGCAGAACCUCAGAGUUGGAAAGAUCCUCUAGGGCCAUUAGAAAUUGGGACUCCACCCCUGGGAUCCCUGAAGGAGGUGCUGGUGUUUAAUAACAGGUCUGGAGCUGAGAGAGGAUAUAUGCACACCCUUUUAUGUCUAAUUUGAAUUAUUAGCACAUUCUAAGUCUAGACAAAUAAAAUGUGGCCCAGA